AGCUCCAAUAGCGUAUAUUAAAGUUGUUGCAGUUAAAAAGCUCGUAGUUGGAUUUCGGAAUGGGCCAGUUGGUCCGCCGCAAGGUGAGUUACUGACUGGUUUGUUCUUCUUCGCAAAGACUGCGUGUGCUCUUUACUGAGUGUACGUAGGAUUUACGACGUUUACUUUGAAAAAAUUAGAGUGUUCAAAGCAGGCUAUCGCUUGAAUACAUGAGCAUGGAAUAAUGGAAUAGGACUUUGGGUCUAUUUUGUUGGUUUCUAGGACCGAAGUAAUGAGUAAGAGGGACAAUUGGGGGAAACCGUAUUUCGUUGUCAGAGGUGAAAUUCUUGGAUUUACGAAAGACGAACAACUGCGAAAGCACUUGCCAAGAGUGUUUUCA
rnacentral:rRNA from 1 species